GAUGAACGCUGGCGGCGUGCUUAACACAUGCAAGUCGAACGGGAAACCUUUUAUUGAAGCUUCGGCAGAUUUAGCUGGUUUCUAGUGGCGGCCGGGUGAGUAACGCGUGGGUAACCUGCCUUAUACAGGGGGAUAACAGUCAGAAAUGGCUGCUAAUACCGCAUAAGCGCACAGAGCUGCAUGGCUCAGUGUGAAAAACUCCGGUGGUAUAAGAUGGACCCGCGUUGGAUUAGCUGGUUGGUGGGGUAACGGCCCACCAAGGCGACGAUCCAUAGCCGGCCUGAGAGGGUGAACGGCCACAUUGGGACUGAGACACGGCCCAGACUCCUACGGGAGGCAGCAGUGGGGAAUAUUGCACAAUGGGGGAAACCCUGAUGCAGCGACGCCGCGUGAAGGAAGAAGUAUCUCGGUAUGUAAACUUCUAUCAGCAGGGAAGAUAAUGACGGUACCUGACUAAGAAGCCCCGGCUAACUACGUG
rnacentral:rRNA from 1 species